rnacentral:rRNA from 1 species
AUUGAACGCUGGCGGCAGGCCUAACACAUGCAAGUCGAGCGGAUGAAGGGAGCUUGCUCCUGGAUUCAGCGGCGGACGGGUGAGUAAUGCCUAGGAAUCUGCCUGGUAGUGGGGGAUAACGUCCGGAAACGGGCGCUAAUACCGCAUACGUCCUGAGGGAGAAAGUGGGGGAUCUUCGGACCUCACGCUAUCAGAUGAGCCUAGGUCGGAUUAGCUAGUUGGUGGGGUAAAGGCCUACCAAGGCGACGAUCCGUAACUGGUCUGAGAGGAUGAUCAGUCAAACUGAAAUUGAGACAGGUUCAGAACCCUUAGGGAAGGCAGAGGGGGGAAAAAUGGGAAAAGGGGGAAAGGCUUGACCAGCCAUGCCGCGUGUGUGAAGAAGGUCUUCGGAUUGUAAAGCACUUUAAGUUGGGAGGAAGGGCAGUAAGUUAAUACCUUGCUGUUUUGACGUUACCAACAGAAUAAGCACCGGCUAACUUCGUG